AUGAACGCUGGCGGCGUGCCUAAUACAUGCAAGUCGAGCGAACAGACGAGGAGCUUGCUCCUCUGACGUUAGCGGCGGACGGGUGAGUAACACGUGGAUAACCUACCUAUAAGACUGGGAUAACUUCGGGAAACCGGAGCUAAUACCGGAUAAUAUAUUGAACCGCAUGGUUCAAUAGUGAAAGACGGUUUUGCUGUCACUUAUAGAUGGAUCCGCGCCGCAUUAGCUAGUUGGUAAGGUAACGGCUUACCAAGGCAACGAUGCGUAGCCGACCUGAGAGGGUGAUCGGCCACACUGGAACUGAGACACGGUCCAGACUCCUACGGGAGGCAGCAGUAGGGAAUCUUCCGCAAUGGGCGAAAGCCUGACGGAGCAACGCCGCGUGAGUGAUGAAGGUCUUCGGAUCGUAAAACUCUGUUAUUAGGGAAGAACAAAUGUGUAAGUAACUAUGCACGUCUUGACGGUACCUAAUCAGAAAGCCACGGCGAACUACG
rnacentral:rRNA from 1 species